rnacentral:rRNA from 1 species
GUCUGGUGCCAGCAGCCGCGGUAAUUCCAGCUCCAAUAGCGUAUAUUAAAGUUGUUGCAGUUAAAAAGCUCGUAGUUGAAUUUCGGGGUCAGCAGGUUGGUCGUGCCACUGGUAUGUACUGGCUUCGCUGAUUCCUCCCUCUUGUAGAACCGUAAUGCCAUUAAGUUGGUGUUGCGGGGAAACAGGACUGUUACUUUGAAAAAAUUAGAGU